UGGGGAAUAUUGCACAAUGGGGGAAACCCUGAUGCAGCGACGCCGCGUGAGCGAAGAAGGUUUUCGAAUCGUAAAGCUCUGUCCUAUGGGAAGAUAAUGACGGUACCAUAGGAGGAAGCCCCGGCUAACUACGUGCCAGCAGCCGCGGUAAUACGUAGGGGGCAAGCGUUGUCCGGAAUCACUGGGCGUAAAGGGUUCGCAGGCGGAAAUGCAAGUCAGUUGUGAAAGGCAGAGGCUCAACCUCUGUAAGCAAUUGAAACUGUAUUUCUUGAGAUGUGGAGAGGCAAGUGGAAUUCCUAGUGUAGCGGUGAAAUGCGUAGAUAUUAGGAAGGAUACCGGUGGCGAAGGCGACUUGCUGGACACAAACUGACGCUGAGGAACGAAAGCGUGGGUAGCAAACAGG
rnacentral:rRNA from 1 species